rnacentral:rRNA from 1 species
GAUGAACGCUGGCGGCGUGCCUAAUACAUGCAAGUCGAGCGAGCAGAUGAGGAGCUUGCUCCUCUGACGUUAGCGGCGGACGGGUGAGUAACACGUGGAUAACCUACCUAUAAGACUGGGAUAACUUCGGGAAACCGGAGCUAAUACCGGAUAAUAUAUUGAACCGCAUGGUUCAAUAGUGAAAGACGGUUUUGCUGUCACUUAUAGAUGGAUCCGCGCCGCAUUAGCUAGUUGGUAAGGUAACGGCUUACCAAGGCAACGAUGCGUAGCCGACCUGAGAGGGGGGUGGGCCAAACUGGAAAGAGAACCCGGCCCAGACUCCGACGGGAGGCAGCAGGAGGGAAGCUUACGCAAGGGGGGAAGGCCUGACGGAGCAACGCCGCGGGAGUGAUGAAGGUCUGCGGAUCGUAAAACUCUUUUAUUGGGAAAGAACAAAGGUGUAAGUAACUUUACACGUCUUGACGGUACCUAAGCAGAAAGCCCCGGCUAAAUACGG